UGACAAACGAGGUUGUAAAUGCCUGUUGC
rnacentral:piRNA from 1 species